rnacentral:rRNA from 1 species
GAUGAACGCUAGCGGCAGGCCUAACACAUGCAAGUCGAGGGAGAAGCCCUUUCGGGGGCAGAAACCGGCGCACGGGUGCGUAACGCGUAUGCAACCUACCUUUCACAGGGGGAUAGCCCGAAGAAAUUUGGAUUAAUACCCCAUAAUAUUAUUGGAUGGCAUCAUUUGAUAAUUAAAACUGCGGUGGUGAAAGAUGGGCAUGCGUCCUAUUAGCUAGUUGGAGUGGUAACGGCACCCCAAGGCUACGAUAGGUAGGGGUCCUGAGAGGGAGAUCCCCCACACUGGUACUGAGACAGGGACCAGACUCCUACGGGAGGCAGCAGUGAGGAAGAUUGGUCAAUGGUCGGAAGACUGAACCAGCCAUGCCGCGUGCAGGAAGAAUGCCUUAUGGGUUGUAAACUGCUUUUAUAUGGGAAGAAUAAGGCGUACGUGUACGUUGAUGACGGUACCAUAUGAAUAAGCAUCGGCUAACUCCGUG